UAAGGAAUAUUGGUCAAUGGGCGCAAGCCUGAACCAGCCAUGCCGCGUGCAGGAAGACGGCCCUAUGGGUUGUAAACUGCUUUUGUCAGGGAAUAAACCUUUGUACGAGUACAGAGCUGAAGGUACCUGAAGAAUAAGCAUCGGCUAACUCCGUGCCAGCAGCCGCGGUAAUACGGAGGAUGCAAGCGUUAUCCGGAUUCAUUGGGUUUAAAGGGUGCGCAGGCGGAUUGGUAAGUCAGGGGUGAAAGCCCACAGCUCAACUGGGGAACUGCCCUUGAUACUGGCAGGCUAGAGUAGAGUUGAAGUUGGCGGAAUGUGUCAUGUAGCGGUGAAAUGCUUAGAUAUGACACAGAACACCGAUCGCGAAGGCAGCUAGCUAAGCUAUAACUGACGCUCAUGCACGAAAGCGUGGGGAUCAAACA
rnacentral:rRNA from 1 species